UACGUAGGGUGCAAGCGUUAAUCGGAAUUACUGGGCGUAAAGCGUGCGCAGGCGGUGAUGUAAGACAGAUGUGAAAUCCCCGGGCUCAACCUGGGAACUGCAUUUGUGACUGCAUCGCUGGAGUGCGGCAGAGGGGAUGGAAUUCCGCGUGUAGCAGUGAAAUGCGUAGAUAUGCGGAGGAACACCGAUGGCGAAGGCAAUCCCCUGGGCCUGCACCGACGCUCAUGCACGAAAGCGUGGGGAGCAAACAGG
rnacentral:rRNA from 1 species